CGGGAGAGAAAAUGUUUAAAAAAAACUUUGCCACCAUAAUUGUCUUAUUCUCGCCGAUCCAAACGACCAACAUGAUUUCCACCAAGUCUUCUUACGGGUACCAUUUGCACCCUCUAAGCUAUGGGUACCAUUUGUACCCCCUAACCCCAAGACAAACGAUGCCAGUUUUUUGAAAAAGGUUUACAUGAGGAAAGUGACAAAUUUCUUUUUUACUAACGAGCAAUAAGAUAUUACAAAGAAUCAAACAGCAAUUUCCAGUCGUCGUUCAAAACUCUGGCAAAGCUUUUCUUGCACACAUCCUGCCUCAUGACCCUGUCUAAACUGUUGUGUUGCUGCGCUUGUAAUGCGUAUGCACCAAGGCAGUAUAUUUACACAGAGGGAAACCAUGCAAUAACUAUACACUCAAAUGUUCCCUCUUUUUUCAGAUCGGUUUUCAAAUUCAGAAGCUGACGAAUUUCGAAAGUACAGUUUUUGCAAAGAAAAUCAUCGUUAUAAACUUUCGUUGAAGCUAUCAAAGUCUACUGAACAGAAAAUAGAUCGAAUGUGUAAAUAUACUGAACAUUUAGACCGCCAGGAUUUAUGCCGGAUUUCAUUGUACCCAGAACAACAAAACAAACAAUGGAUACAAGUAUAUACCAUUGAACUAUAAGUAAACUGGAACGAUAAGUUCGCCGCCAUCUUUGAAGCCGGCCAUGAGUGCUUUCUGCAGGUAGCCCAGUCCUUUUUAAAAAAUUCUUUCAAAAUAUGCACAUUUUUCGAUCAGAAAAAUCUUGCCCCAAAAUAUUACUUAUACCACCAAAUUUAAUUUAUAUCAGUAGUAUGAUAAACGAAUUUAAUAUUCGCAAAUCAAACAAAUCACGAAUUAGCAAAAAAUGCGAAAAAACACGACCAUAAUGAACGGUCAGAAAAACAGCGCGUUUUAGGCUUUUUUGAAAGUUUAAGAUAAAACUAAGACGUCAUACCUCAGGAAUUAUUUAAACCCAUGCAAAAUACAUCUGUAUGCGAAGUUUCAAGAAGAUUGAACGUUUUAAGGUCGAAAAAAAAAGCAUUUAAAAAUUGACAAAAAUAUUGCCAUAUUCAACGUGCUCAUAGUGGCCAACAAGAAGAGCGAUGACGAAAAUAACAUCACUUGAAAAACGCCAAUUUAUUUAUGUUUUAGAAGGAAUAAAACCAGGACUAAAAGCUCAGGAUCAAUAACAAUACCUGGGGUUUUAGUACAGCAUAAGUUUUGGGACUGUCAAUAUGUUUUAUAGUAUUUUUUUUGAGUUGUAGAGCGAGGUUCCCUCCGGCACGUCCAAAACUUUCGUCAUUUUUUCAUAAUACAAAAGCAAAACUCCUUACUUUUUGCUGCAGAGAGAUGUAAAACAGUUGGAACUAAUCGGAAAACCUGGUUUGAAUCCUAAUCAUUGUUGUCAUGGAAAAAGUGUUUUUAUUGCACAUUUUUGCUCGAAAACAAACUUUUGACCGAAUUUUUUUCACUCCUCAAAACUCUCCUUAGUCCUUUUGAAAGCUGAUUUUCCCGCGCACCGGCUUCAACGAAUCAUAGGCCUCCAUCAUAGGAGUUAGCCUUCCAGUUUAUUUAUAGUUCAAUGGUAUCUACAGCCUGUUCGCAGGCAAACAAGAAAGAACAGUACCUGAAAGUAGACAUUUCUGUGACCUUUGUAUGUCCAUUAACUGAAUAUCCAUUACGGGGCCAUAUUUAUCCAUCAUAGUUUCUUUGUAUCCAUUUAUUAUAGUCACAAAUAUCCACUGCUGACCAUGGACAUUUGAUCAAUCCUUUCAUUUCAUCCGAGGCAUCCAAUUUCAUCAUCGUCUUUGUCUUGAAUUCAUAGCUUCGUGAUCAUAACUACUGUCUUUGGUGUAUUGUUGUAAUUUGAUUAGAAAUAGUAUUUCCUCCUGUAUUGCUCUUCGAGGCAUGUCAUCUUGGUAUUACCAUUUGCAUUCAAGCGUUAAGCGUUAAGCGAAAUUACGGUUUGUUUCCGGUUUUGAGAACAUGGGUUUGCCCAAUGAAAACUGUACGUUUGACAGGUCAAACUUGUACGUUUGAUAUUUCAAUUUUCAAAACAACACUUCGCUGGGCGGGACUUAUUAAUACAGACUACAUUUGAAUAUUUGAUUUUAAACCAACAAAUGGAAAUUUUAAAACGAAUAAGUUUGGAAGAUCCUAUAUUAGUGGAAAACCUUUAUCAGAAGACUUUCGAGUAUUAAUCUUGGACACAAUUAUUGAGAAGGGAGGAGACAGUUUAACAGGUUAUAUUCCAGUUACUUAUAUCGAGAUUUCGAAACGUUUCUGCGUUAAAUUAUUCACAGCAAACAGUUGCAAAGAUAUGGACGGAAUUUUGCCAAAGAAACAGUUUUGCUGUACAAUCCCGUAGAGGACUACGACUAUACGUAUUAAUAAUCGCAAAUUAACUGACAAUGACUUGGAACUGAUCGAAACGUUGAGAGCAAAUAAGGGAUCGAUCUCAAUGCGAUAUAAUAAUAUGAAUGGAUAUAUGUUUUAAAAUAUGAUGUCAAUGAAAUGUCAAACUAUUAAAGUCUAAGUUUAGUAAAUAACUAGUUUAUAAAUCCCGUGUAAACAAUACCGUACCUUCCAGAGGUUUAUUUUUAAUAUACAGUAAGUCCCGCCCAGCGAAAUGUUGUUUUGAAAAUUGAAAUGUCAAACGUACAAGUUUGACCUGUCAAACGUACAGUUUUCAUUGGGCAAACCCAUGUUUUCAAAACCGGAAACAAACCGUAAUUUCGCUUAACGCUUGAAUGCAAAUGGUAAUAACAUGAUAUUUUAUAAAUCAAUAUUUCAUCAGCAUGUUCAGUAAUGAUCUGUAAAACAAAGCAAAAAGACAAAAAUUAAUUCAGAUAUAAAACUUAAAACCGUUAGGUUGUACUGUGCCCUGAUGCAUGCUCUACUUGAGUAUUUUACUGUCCAACGCCAGCCGAUUUUAUGCUUCGUGAGACUGCCCAUGUGUCUAGUUACCCAUUAACUGCCAGUGCACCCCCUGCUUAAUAAAAUUGUAUGAUGUUAGACAGAGUUAAAUAAUAUAAGUAGGUAAAUUAGGGUGCAAAUCAACUUAAUGGGUAAAUGUACUGCUUACAUGAUCCCAGUUUGUCAGGACGUACAGGAUGAAAGGUGGGAUGAUUUUCAUGCACUGAAAUAAGUCACUAGGCUUGAACAAAAAAAAGUUGUAAACAUCACUGCAUAAUAUCAGAGAAAAUUUUCCAAGGAUACACUUAAUUGCCUUGCACACAUUGUUGGUGUAUAGUUUAUUUGUCAAGCCAGCCAGAUAGUUGAAUUGCUGUUAUCUAAGAUAAAUAGGGUUAACUCCUUAAGCUGCAAAGGAACUCAAAUGUCUGAUAUCAGAUCAUUUUACUCAUCAAGAGGAAAGUCUUGUGCAUCAGAUGCUGUACUCAAGGAACUUCAAAAUACAAACAGGCAUGCAUGGUACAGUGUGAAAAUUUUUUUAUGAACUUUGUUUUAGUUAACCCUUUAAGUUGCAUUGUGCCCGAUGCACCCUAUUUUAGUAUUUUACUGUCUAACGCCACAGGAUUUUACUUGUCAAGUGGAACUGCCACUCAAGCACAAAAAGAGUUCAAAAACUUAAAGCACAAAAAGAGUUCUAAAAUCACGAACCGCGCAAUGUUUUAGAAAACAAAAUCUAACUAAUCUGGACGUUUUUGACAGCCAUCAUAUGCAAUGGUCACAUCGCAAACAUUGGAAUAUGGUUUGUGCAACAAUUUUGUCAAAAAUAGACACUGGACGGUAUAUUAUCAGAAACACAAGCUUUAGUAUUAUUAGUGAUGAAUUAAGUCAUUUCAACAGCAAUGACGUAUUGAAAUUUUCUUAGCCCGAUCAUCGCUUUACAAAGGAAGACUGGUAGAAAUGUAUCCUGGGUGUCCCAAAAAAACCCUUGUGCUGUUUGAUUUAAUGUAACAUAAAAACUACAAAAGCUAUUACACUCAAAUAAGUUUUAUUGUGUUCAUAAAGGACUAACUUAGAUUUUGAUAUGUAACAUUUGAAUACCCCCCCCAUAUACGAGUUCCCCCCACCUAUAUGCCCAACAAAAAACUCUUAAGAACAAAUAUGAGCCCAUCCUCGUUCCCAGUGUCUCACCCCCUACUCCAGAGAGACGUUAAAAAUUUUUACAACUAUGUUAUACAGAUAUUACAUUACUGCUAUCAAUAUAAACUAUGAAUCUGAAAACCCUAUGACUUGGAAAUCAAUCUGUUUGAAAUGUAACACUUCUCGUAGUCUUGCUACUCCACUCUCUUGUUGUAUUUAUUCUCGUAAAUUAUGUUAUUGUAUAUUUAUAUAGUAUUUGUAAAAUAGAGCCCACAGUAAUUGGUUUUUAUUCUGUUGUGAUGACACUGCCACUCUUUUAUGUGGUAAAGAUAUCAUAAAUUCAUAACAUAUCUCAAAUUAGUUGGGCACCCCAUUUAUAGAAAAUCAUGAAUAGAAACAAAAAUCCUAAAUCAUGCCUACUAAAAACUUCAAAUUCCUAUCAACAGUUGGGGACCCAAUUUAUAGUAGCUCCCCCACGGGAUUACAGUCUUCUGUCAUUCGACGCUAGUGCUGUACAGCUACCGGCGAAAUAUGAUUGGCAGUUUUUCAUUCGUUCGUUUCAAAAUUAUACUUGCAUAAAUUUGCUUAGCUAAUUUUGAGACGAGUAUACCGGUUUUACAGAUUACAUAAAGUUUCUGGGUGCUGUUGGGCAGACAUUGUCACACAAAAGAGCAUUUAAUUUUUUGGGAUGAAUAAAUUUGGUAGAAUUUACAAAUCUGGCAUUUUUUUUUGCGAGUUUAUGUUUCGAUUUCGUUGUAUUGUUUUGCUCGACUUUGUCUAUUGACCUUGUUUACAUACUAUAAGUUCUAUUUAAAGUAACACACCUGAUUGGAUAAUAAAAUUAGAAAGCCACUGAAGUGCACAAUAUUAUAUCCAUUUAUAUGACUACGUCCUGCAUUAGUGACAAAUGGUUGCAGACUGUUAUCCUUCCACCACGGGGGGCAGACUGUGCGCAGACUAAAUUUAUAGAAAAUCCUAAAUCAUGCCUACAGCCUACUAAAAACUUAUUCAACCCUAACAACUGCUAGCAAAAUACUUGAAAGAACUGUUCAUAGUCAAGUCUAUAGCUAUCUACUUCAUGAAAAUAUCCUGACCCCGAAACAAUUUGGAUUCCGCCCUAAACUCUCCACGGCAAUUGCUCUCACCUACUUCACUGACAACAUUCUGGAUAAUUUAGACACAGGUUCUAUGGUCGGUGCAGUUUUCUUAGAUCUUUCGAAGGCCUUCAACACGAUUAGUCACGAUCGUCUCAUACAGAAACUUGGCACUAUUGGUUUUUCACAGCCAACAAUCAACUGGUUCUCUUCUUAUCUCUCUAAUCAUUUUCAAGUCACUUCUAUUGGCCUUGAACAGUCGUCCACUCAACCAGUACAUGUCGGAGUACCCCAAGGAAGUAUACUGGGUCCUUUACUGUUUCUCAUUUUUUUAUCAGGGCUCCACUGAAAAUCACUUUCGUGAGUGGCCCCCCUGACUAAAUAUUGUAACUAUUAUUAUCAUGUAGUUGUAUAAGAACUCUAUUAUUUUCUAUAUCAAAAAAUUUACAAUCUAUAUAUUAUGGUAUUAUAUAUGAACUAGUUGGGGC
rnacentral:lncRNA from 1 species